AAGAAGAAGAAGAAGAAGAAGAAAAAGAUCGAAUGUACACGAAAGAGUGGGAAGGAGAAAAGAGGAAGAUAUCCUACUACAACAACCACCUGUGUUAUUAGGACAAAUUCUGACGCGCCAAGGAUGUUGCCCGUGAUCAGGGUUGCUACGGAUGAUGUAGUUUACCUACGUCUCUGAGAUCCACCUGUUUUUUUCUUUCUUUCUGGAUUUAAAGAUACCAAGGAUUACGGAUUUACGCAAAAAUAGGAGAGACGAUAUAGAAGAAGAUAAUCGUUGGAAGUAAAAAAAAAAAAAAAAA